UGCGUAGGCGGGCGUCUAAGUCUGAGGUGAAAUCUUGCCGCUUAACGGUAAAAUGGCCUUGGAUACUGGGCGUCUUGAGUGUAGAAGAGGUAGGUGGAAUUCGUAGUGUAGCGGUGAAAUGCAUAGAUAUUACGAAGAACAUCAGUGGCGAAGGCGGCCUACUGGUCUACAACUGAGGCUGAGGCACGAAAGCGUGGGGAGCGAACA
rnacentral:rRNA from 1 species